AGGACGAACGCUGGCGGCGUGCUUAACACAUGCAAGUCGAGCGGUGAUCCUCCUUCGGGAGGUGAUCAGCGGCGAACGGGUGAGUAACACGUGGGCAACCUGCCCCUCACACUGGGAUAACCUCGGGAAACCGGGGCUAAUACCGGAUACGACCUCGAGCGGCAUCUCUUGAGGUGGAAAGCUCCGACGGUGAGGGAUGGGCCCGCGGCCUAUCAGCUUGUUGGUGGGGUAAUGGCCUACCAAGGCGACGACGGGUAGCCGGCCUGAGAGGGUGACCGGCCACACUGGGACUGAGACACGGCCCAGACUCCUACGGGAGGCAGCAGUGGGGAAUAUUGGACAAUGGGCGCAAGCCUGAUCCAGCCAUGCCGCGUGGAUGAUGAAGGCCUUAGGGUUGUAAAGUCCUUUUAACGGGGAAGAUAAUGACGGUACCCGUAGAAUAAGCCCCGGCUAACUUCGUGCCAGCAGCCGC
rnacentral:rRNA from 1 species